rnacentral:rRNA from 1 species
GACGAACCGUGCGAACGUUGUUCGGAAUCACUGGGCUUAAAGGGCGCGUAGGCGGGCUGCCAAGUCCGGGGUGAAAUCUUUCGGCUCAACCGGAAAAUUGCCCCAGAUACUGGCGGCCUCGAGGGAGGUAGGGGCAUGUGGAACUUCCGGUGGAGCGGUGAAAUGCGUAGAUAUCGGAAGGAACGCCGGUGGCGAAAGCGACGUGCUGGACCUCUU